UACGUAGGGACCAAGCGUUGUUCGGAUUUACUGGGCGUAAAGGGCGCGUAGGCGGCCUGUUAAGUCGAACGUGAAAUCCCCGGGCUCAACCCGGGAACUGCGUCCGAUACUGGCAGACUAGAGUGUGGUAGGGGAGACUGGAAUUCCUGGUGUAGCGGUGAAAUGCGCAGAUAUCAGGAGGAACACCGGUGGCGAAGGCGGCAUCCUGGACCGGUAUUGACGCUGAGGCGCGAAAGCCAGGGGAGCAAACGGG
rnacentral:rRNA from 1 species